UGAAAUGACUUACAGUCCAGGUCAUCUAGACUAUGAUCUAUUAUUGAGACAACUGGUGAAGUCCUUAACCACUUCAAGUGAAAAGGAGAGUCGACACAAUAUUAUCUGUGAAAGCAAGGCAAUAUGACCCUUGAAACUUCUGUCUCAAUUUCCUCUGCAAUAAAAAGGAUGAUGCCAGCCAAUAAUUCUUAUAAAGAAGGGAGAAAUUAGGCAAAACCUCUGAAGUUGUUGCCCACGGACAAGUCCUUCACUGAGCGACCUAAGAAUAUAAGAGAUGUCUGCCCUGGAACAAGCCUAUGAUCUAUCCCGUCCAAUAUUCUGUGCAAGUCUCCCCACUCC